AGAAAAGAUGCGAAAAAGGACUAAAAUGACGCGAAGUGAAAGUUCAAAGACCAAGGUGCAAUUAUCCAAAAGUUGACCCGAUGAACAAAUCGAGAAAUUGAUUAAGCUAAUUGCCAAUUGACAAUAUCUUGGGAUGAUAGAAUGGAAAGAAUGAAGAAAAGAUGCCAAGAAGUGAAGGAUUUAAGUAGAAGGACCAAAAUGAACAUCUUUCAUAGUUGGUAGCACUAUACCCUCUAUGCGGUCGCAUAGAGGCAAACCAAAACAUAAUUGCCACAAAAUUUUUUACUCUAUGCGACCGCAUAGAGAUGCUCUAUGUCGCAUAGAGCAAUUCUAGGGCAAAAUCGCAGUCUCUUUUUUCCAUUGAAACUCUUAUGGAAACAAUAUUUUUAGGGUCCUAUAUAAACAAAAACUCGACCAGAACGAUAGGGACGCCGUUUUUACAAGUUUUUGAGAGAUUUUGAAGGAGAAAUGAAGAGAAAACAAGAGGAAAACAUCGCUCCAAGUGAAGAUUCGAUUGAAACUUGAUUCGGGUGAUAACGUUUCUUCAACUAUUUUUGUGUUUUCUUCUUUUUAGCAUGUUAGGCUAGAUUUUUCAUUGCUAGAAGAUUGAUG
rnacentral:lncRNA from 1 species